rnacentral:tRNA from 1 species
GUCUGUAUAGCUCAGCUCGGUAGAGCAAUUGCGACGGCAUGGCGCGCUGGUUCGAAUCCAGCUACAGGCA